AGGAAGAGAGGGCGGAGGAGGCAGGAAGGGGACGAGAAGGAAGAAAGGCCUGCUUGGGCAGCAGUCAGCUGGGGAACAGGAGCUCCCGAGUGUUCUAGGCGUCUUCCCUGCAGAGGCGCUGCACUCUGGCUCCAGGAGAGGACCGGGGUCCUGGGGAGCUGUGGGUGCAGGGGGAGGCAGGGCCAGAGGUCCGGGCAGGCUCCAUCCUUGCCACACCCAGGCGGCAGCUAUCGCGACGGUUUGGCGAGCGCCGCCUCUAAGCAGGCACCGCCUCUGCCAUCGCAGGGCACCAACGGGGAUCUGGCAUCUCGAGCGUCCCAGACCGCACUCAGCUCCGAGAGGCUGACUCUUGGGCCCAGCGGCGGUCAGAAAGUCUAAGCCACCGCCCGAGCGCGGAGGAGCCGGCGGCCCGAGUGGAUGAUAUCGCCAUUGCCCAGCCAAGCAGUCACGCCACCAGACACAAAACACUUGUGGAAUCCUGUCACCCCAACCCCCGCCAGCUCUCUUACCUCCAUGGUCCGAUAUCAUGCUUCAAACAUCGUGAUUUACCUGGACGCAUAGACGAUCUUAUUCUGCCUGUCGUCGAACUUUCAAUCCAGCGUCGUAGACACCUGCAGAGAUUUUCUCAAAGAUUAGAAGAUUUCUAAAUGAUUGCAUUGAUCUUCCAUAAACACUAGGCUAAAACUCCAGCGUCUUCAUCCUUAUAAAAGAAAGAAAUAAAGGAUGCCCCCCUGGCUCUGUCUCUCUUCGGGGGUUUGU